AAUAAUCCUCGUUAGGUGAGGCUUCUGCAUAGAGCACACGCCACUGCCCGGAAAUGUCGAGAGACACCAACUGGGUUAACAGGUAUGGCCGGAUUAAGGCUUUACUUAAUGUGGCUGAGGCUUUAUACAGUCUCUAGCUAUGUACGUGCCAAAGCUCGGACGAGUGGGGAAGACA
rnacentral:sRNA from 2 species